CAGACUGAGAGCCCACAGCUCCGUCUGCUGACUCUCACCAUGACUCAGCGCUUUUUCUAGCAAGUAAUUGUUAUCCAUGACUGGAGGAAAUGACAUCAUUCAUGAUGGAGACACUUCCUGUUACUGCAUUUAUGCACAAGUUCACCUGGAAAUCCAGUAAAGCAUAUAUCAAAGUCAAGGCCCGGGGGCCGGAUCCGGCCCUCCAGAUUCUGCCCCCCCCUCGGCUCUGCAAACAUCAGCGUACAUGCACAGGAGCAGUGAGAUCUGGAGCAGCAGGACUGAACAGCCUGAGCUGGAGAGAGUCUGGGUCCUGAGAGGAGCUGUGGUUCAGACGAGGGAGCGUGGAGCAGCAGGGAGGAACGCUUAAUUACAUUCUUGCUGGAUUCCCUAGUGAUUUCUGGGAAUGAGACUCUUUUCUAACCUGGAGAGAACCGCGGCCUCAAACCUGCAGAUCAAGUCUACAUCAUGAACAAUGAAAUAUGAGUUGGAAGUCAUCAAUGUUUACAUUUAUAUUAAUACUAAUAAAAUAUUUUUUAGGGUGAUGUAAGUUGAAAUGUGCAUCACCCUUUUGUAAAAUGAAACAGUGUUUUCAUGCAGUAAUGUUUGAUUCUUUGUUAUUUCUCUUUUCAGUCUCAUGUUGUGUUUCCUUAGUGUCUUUUAGAAAACCCCCAGGAGUAACUUAUAAACUGAUACCUUCAUGUUCUUAAAAACCAGAUGAAGUAGAUGUGUGAUGCAUGUUGCAUGCAGCCUCUCCUGAAUUCUGUCCACAUCUGCUCUCAUAAAUACAAGCUGAAGCUUUUAAACACAAA